AUGCAUAAGCUUUAUCAGGCUGUGUUUUCUCUUCUCUCAACAGGUCAUAAGAUGAUAAAACAAUCAGUGAGGAACUCUUCACUUCGUUCAUUGAGCUUGCAUGAGGAUUGCUAUAGUGCAUUGCAGUGUGAUCCAGAGCCCUGUGGUGCUUCACGCAGUAUACAUGCAGCUCUCUCCACCAGCAGAGCAGCAGCGGAGCCAGCUUGUAAGAGCAAACUUAAAUCAGGUGGGAGUACGGCAGGAUUAUUCUCUAAUCUGAGGAAGAAGCUAGGUGCCCUGAAGAACCCACAUCAGAUGCCUCCAGAGCCACAGGAUUUGUUGUCCAGUUGUAAUGAAGAUUGCACUGCACCCAAACAAACACCCAGAGACCCUCUGCUGCAGUUGGUCUCCCUCCAGAAGGCGUCUGGCUGCUGGGUGCUAGAUCCAGCUCUGGCUGCUGCACUGGGAAAGACCAGGAAGAAGGUGGAAAAAAGGAAACCUUCAUCGGUGGGUUAUUGUCAAAGUCAAUAACACAAGAGAAAAAUAAGUCUAAGUUUAAAACAAAUGAAGUACUAAAACACAUGUAACUAAAUCAACACCGCAUAAAACAAAACCAAAUCAAAUGAACAUGGGGAUUAGUCAGACAAAAGAUACAUCACUGCAUGAAAAAAAGUCUGGAAAUCUGGGCCCAGAGUACUGGUGGUACUCGAGCACUUAAGCACCCUCGGAGCUGGCACCAAUGUCUGGUUUUAUAUAGUAGCUACCUGAGG
rnacentral:lncRNA from 15 species